UGGCUUUGCUCAGCUAGGUCACAUUCCCCAGCCCGGCCGGAGCUGUGUGCGCAUGCAACUGUGUGUGCCAGCUCAGCUUUCUUCAUGGAUGUCAGCUUGGAAGUCAUGGCUAACAAUACGAAACCCUUCAGAAAGAUGGUCACACUCCAUGAUUCAAGCAGAAAUGAAGGGAAACGACUCAUCCCGGUGAUGGCCCCAACAUCCCUGGAAGCCCUGGCCCCUUCCUGAACCUCAGACCAGCUCACCUCACACUCCACGCAGAGGAUGUGGCCUUCCUGAAUCCUUGCAUCCUUUUUGCGAACAAGGGUACUUAUCUCUGGGUCACAGUGGCAGGAGGCCCUUUCUCUCAUUGUCAUGUUAGCACCGUAAGAGGACACAUCAGAAAAAUGCUUAGACCAGCGGUUCUCUUCUGGAGAUUGCUACGGAGUUCUGCACCAUGGAACAGUUAAGGCUGGAGCAAAUGAGCAGGCUCUGUGCUCAUUCUCCUACAGAACAGCCACUCACCAAGGACGAACGUCGCUCUCUGGCAAAGGACAGCUUACGGGUCCCUGGAGUGGAAGGACAGAGUGGCUUUGGGGCUGGGCUGUUUCUUUUGGUAUAAUGGUGGAGAGUCACCUAUGCACUGAGCCUGGUGGAACUGUCUUCCGCUCUGAGUGUGAGAGCCACUCCACUGCUGGCGUUCUGUGCACUGGGUUUGUCCACUGUCAAUGGACACUAGCUCCCUGCACUCCGACUCUGUCAAUGCUGCUCCUGUAAGCCAGGGGAUGUACUGCAGCCACCGAGCGCCUGUGUCGUAAGGACUCCCGAGUAAAAACCUAGACGUUUGACACUUGAGAUGGCUCAAGUGGUAAAGUGCCAGGUGUGACCCAAAAAGCUGAGAGUUCAAGGCCUGGAGUUGAAGCCCCAGUACCCGCUCAGCAACAACAGAAGAAACCAGAAUCCUCACCAUUAUUUACAAACCUCCCGAAGAUGCAUCUUUCUCCGAUAGCAAGCCAGCACAUUUUCCUUGGAUGUGCUUUAAUUCCAUGAAUAAAAGCACAAGAAAAGUGGCUGUCAGGUUCCUUAUUGAUACGAUGGCAGGCAUGGGGCAGGGCUCCAUCUCUGGCUCUGGCCUGUUAGCAGCCUCUAAAGUGGGACAGACUUUCAGCAGUCUGCAUGUUGCCUAUAGACUGGCAACACCGGAGUUAUUUAGUUGGAAAAGCUGUGCCUCACUUACCAGUCCAAAUUCAUUCUUUAACACCACCACCAUUCCUGUUUUCCUUCAAAGAUUCUAAAUGCCAGUAUGCUGGGUGGGGCUGCUGCUUUUAACAUAGGCUCCAUCUAAGUAGAAAGCUUAACUAUCACAAGCAAUACAGGGAAAGGAAGAAGAUAAUCUAUGCAGGCGCGCAGGCGGAGGCAGCAUUGUGAUGAAGCCAUUAGCAGGCAGAUGGGCAAGGUGGUGAAAUGCUUAGGUCAUGCUAAUAGCCGUCACAUCCUGAGGCGCUCGGGCGGAAGCAGAGGACAGCCCAAACGCUAAGUAGAACUGGGUUUUAAAAAUGCUAUUUGCUUGCAUGCUUGACAUUCUUUUUAGCCCUAUUUUUAAAGCUCAAAUCAGGAUGGACCAAAUAUGUGAGAACACAGCAGGACGGGGGGGGGGGCACGGCUCCCCGUCCCUCAUCCUGCUGCCCAGACGGCCGAGGGGUCAUGCUUGCUGGUGACCGUGGGCAGGAUGGUGUGAACUGCUGGCGCUCACACCACCUCGAAGGAGUCCUACUCAGAUGAAGCGAGCAGAACCGUCUACAAAGAGUCUGUCCGUCUGCACUCACAGAGCCUGCGUGGGAUGUUGGACGCGCACACACAAUGGUAAAUUAUGGAUGAAUCUUCAAAACAUUGUACUAGCUGAAGGAAGCCCAGUGUGAGAGACCACAGGUAUAAUUCUAUUUAUAAGCAUGUUCACUGAGCAAACUGAAGAUAGAAAACCGAUUGGUGGUUGCCUAGACAAUGGGGAGCAUCUGUUAAUGGAUUUUUCUUCUGGUGAAAACAUGUGGCCCUGAUGCGGUCUAUAAUAAAAAGCAGAGCAGCGCGAGGCCAUACCUGGGUUGGAG